GAUGAACGCUGGCGGCGUGCUUAAUACAUGCAAGUCGAACGAAGAGCUUUGUAGCAAUACGGAGCUUCUUAGUGGCGAACGGGUGCGUAACGCGUUGGUGACCUGCCCCGAAGUGUGGAAUAACCGUUCGAAAGGACUGCUAAUACCGCAUGUGGUUCUCCGGGUUAGAGGCUGGAGUUCUAAAGCAGUAAUGCGCUUCGGGAGGGACCUGCGUCCCAUCAGCUAGUUGGUGAGGUAAUGGCCCACCAAGGCUACGACGGGUAGGGGACCUGAGAGGGUGGUCCCCCACACUGGCACUGAAACACGGGCCAGACACCUACGGGUGGCAGCAGUAGGGAAUAUUGGGCAAUGGGCGAAAGCCUGACCCAGCAACGCCGCGUGCAUGAUGAAGGUCUUCGGAUCGUAAAAUGCUUUUCUGAGAGAUGAGAAAGGACAGUAUCUCAGGAAUAAGUCUCGGCUAACUACGUGCCAGCCGCCGCCGUAAAAC
rnacentral:rRNA from 1 species